UAACACUGUUUGGACACACAUCCUUCAAGUGGUCGUAACGCCCGCAGCCAAAGCAUAUCAGCGGCAGCGAUUCAAACUCAACCCAUUGAAGAGUGUCGUUUAUCAAUACUUGAGAAGUCAGUGGCUUAUCAAAGUUAACGUGUACUGUCAUUCUCGCGAACUUUCCUCUCAUUCUACUAUCUGUGUUGAAAUCGAUUUUUGAGAUUUUACCAAUCAUCCCUCCAAUUUCUUUAAGAAUUCUCCGUUUGUAUAGAAACCCCGGAAGCCCUGGAAGUCUAAUUCGGGCCUUGACAACAUUCGAAUAAGGUUGCAUCGAAUUGGAAUCCGUAGUCCAAGGCUGCACGAUAAGUACUUUUU
rnacentral:lncRNA from 1 species